GCACCACAAGAACGCGUGGAGCAUGUGGCUUAAUUUGACUCAACGCGGGAAAUCUUACCGGGUCCGGACACACUGAGGAUUGACAGGCAAUAUCUUGGCUGUUUAAUAACCGUUUAUUAAUAAUAAACGGUUUAUUAAACAGAUCGAGUGUUAAAUAUGCUAGUCCUUUCAUGAUUAUGUGAUAGGUGGUGCAUGGCCGUUCUUAGUUCGUGGAGUGAUCUGUCUGCUUAAUUGCGUUUCACUAAGGGCCCAUAAAUUCAAGGUAUGUUAGCAAUCGUCGCUCUAUGGACCCCUUAUUUCAGUUUAUUAAUAAACUGUUAUAAGCGCACGUCUUGUUUAAAGAGUUUAAGACACUGCGCAUGCUGUUGGGCUCUGAAAGCAACGAACGUGACCGCAACGUCUUGUUGCCUUAAUCAAGUCGGCUGUUUAAUCUGUUUAAUUAAACAGACAGACAGCAGUCAUUAUAUGGCUUAUCCGAGGCUAUUUAAAACUAGACGAACCGCUGUUUCUUUUCUUAAACCAGAGGAAGGUUGCGGCAAUAACAGGUCUGUGAUG
rnacentral:rRNA from 1 species